rnacentral:lncRNA from 1 species
AGAGGAAAGCAUUUCAAUUCGACAGAAGCAGCAGUGAAAUGGUACAUUCAGCCAAUAAUGAUACAUCCAUGGUGGACCAGGUGAGAAAGAGAGAGACAGAGAGAGGAUGCACAAAUGAUGAUAAUUUAACUUAAAAGAGAACAUGAUCAUCAACCAUCCAACCAAAGAUCAACGUCCACCGAUUCAACACGAAAGGAACAACCCGCGAAAGUAGAAUGAAGAGAAACACAAGGAAAAAAAAACAUACACAGAAGAAAAUCGAAGGUGAAAUUCAAUAAUAGACAAUUUUUUUUUUUUGUUUAUUUUUCUGAUUUCGGGUCUAGUAGUCAGUGGUUGGGAGCUGCUCGUGGGUGUGGCUGAUGAAGACGACCUCGUAGAUGACUCCGGCGAUGCCACCACCGAUGAGAGGGCCGACCCAGUAGAUCCAGUUGUUUUCCCAGGUCCAGCUAACAACGGCAGGUCCGAAUGUGACGGCAGGGUUCAUGGCUGCUCCGGAGAAGGCCCCACCCAACAAAAUGUUAGCGCCAACGAUGAAACCAAUGGCGAUGGGAGCAAUGGUUCCCAAACUACCCCUCUUGGGGUCAACGGCGGUAGCGUAGACAGUGUACA